UGGGGAAUCUUCCGCAAUGGACGAAAGUCUGACGGAGCGACGCCGCGUGAGUGAAGAAGGCCUUCGGGUCGUAAAGCUCUGUCAUCAGGGACGAACGGCCGGUGGAGUGGAAAGCCACCGGAUUGACGGUACCUGAGAAGGAAGCCACGGCUAACUACGUGCCAGCAGCCGCGGUAAUACGUAGGUGGCAAGCGUUGUCCGGAAUUAUUGGGCGUAAAGCGCGCGCAGGUGGGAUCUUAAGUCCAUUUUGAAAGUUCGGAGCUCAACUCCGUGAUGGGAUGGAAACUGGGAUUCUUGAGUACCGGAGAGGAAAGCGGAAUUCCCCGUGUAGCGGUGAAAUGCGUAGAUAUGGGGAGGAACACCAGUGGCGAAGGCGGCUUUCUGGACGGUGUCUGACACUGAGGCGCGAAAGCCAGGGGAGCGAACG
rnacentral:rRNA from 1 species